rnacentral:rRNA from 1 species
CCUACGGGGGGCAGCAGUGGGGGAUAUUGCACAAUGGGGGAAACCCUGAUGCAGCAACGCCGCGUGAGUGAAGAAGUAUUUCGGUAUGUAAAGCUCUAUCAGCAGGGAAGAAGAUGACAGUACCUGAGUAAGAAGCCCCGGCUAACUACGUGCCAGCAGCCGCGGUAAUACGUAGGGGGCAAGCGUUAUCCGGAUUUACUGGGUGUAAAGGGGGCGUAGACGGUUGUAUAAGUCUGGAGUGAAAGCCCGGGGCCUAACCCCGGGACUGCUUUG